AGCUUCGCACGUCCUCGGCGUAGGGGCUCCUGCGAGGUCCUAGUCCUUCCCUGGGAGCUAAGAGCGUAACAGAGGCUGUACCCGACUGCUGCUUGGAGGGAACCCUGGCUGAGUCCAGGGAGGAGGAGCCAGAGGCGGGGCGAUUGGAAGCAGCCACCUCAGCGAAGCUGCAGGAUUUCCGCAGGGCGGGAGCUGGUUAUCUCCCGGAAGAAAACGGCUCCUGUCACAGAAGUCUCGUGAUUGCUCUGGGAGCUUUGCUUAACCAUUUGGAACUACAGAAGAAAGAAGGAUCUAGCGAAGUAUGGCUGCAGAGAGCCCUGCUAUGCGUCGGGUCCAGGUGGCAGAACAUCCCAGGUUACUGAAGCUAAAGGAGAUGUUUAACUCCAAGUUUGGAUCUAUUCCCAAGUUUUAUGUUCGAGCACCAGGAAGAGUCAACAUAAUAGGAGAGCAUAUAGAUUACUGUGGAUAUUCUGUUCUUCCUAUGGCUAUAGAACAAGAUGUGCUAAUAGCUGUAGAACCUGUGAAAACAUAUACUCUCCAACUGGCCAAUACAAAUCCCUUGUAUCCGGACUUCAGUACUAGUGCUAAUAACAUUCAGAUUGAUAAAACCAAGCCUUUGUGGCACAACUAUUUCUUAUGUGGACUUAAAGGAAUUCAGGAACACUUUGGUCUUACUAACCUGACUGGAAUGAACUGCCUGGUAGAUGGAAAUAUCCCACCAAGUUCUGGCCUCUCCAGCUCCAGUGCUUUGGUCUGUUGUGCUGGCUUGGUGACGCUCACAGUGCUAGGAAGGAAUCUAUCCAAGGUGGAACUUGCAGAAAUCUGUGCCAAGAGUGAGCGUUACAUUGGUACUGAAGGAGGAGGCAUGGACCAGUCUAUAUCAUUUCUUGCAGAAGAAGGAACUGCCAAGUUGAUAGAAUUUAGUCCUCUGAGGGCAACUGAUGUAAAACUCCCAAGUGGAGCAGUGUUUGUGAUUGCCAACAGUUGUGUGGAGAUGAAUAAGGCAGCAACUUCUCAGUUCAAUAUCAGGGUGAUGGAGUGUCGGCUGGCUGCGAAGCUCCUGGCUAAAUACAAAAACUUGCAAUGGGACAACGUACUGCGGCUGGACGAGGUGCAGGCUAAACUAGGGAUUAGUCUAGAAGAAAUGUUGUUGGUCACAGAAGAUGCCCUUCAUCCUGAACCCUAUAACCCUGAGGAGAUCUGUAGGUGUCUGGGAAUUAGCCUGGAGGAACUCCGAACCCAAAUCCUGAGUCCAAACACUCAAGAUGCCCUGUCUCUUUCCCCUAGGCCUGGGAAUUUUCAUAAAUAUUCCAAAAUUUUCCCAGACCCACCACACCAGCUAAGCCACUGUUCAAUAUGGGUGAAAAUGUGCUUAUCUUCAAACUCUAUCAGCGGGCAAAGCAUGUGUACAGCGAGGCUGCGCGAGUGCUCCAGUUUAAGAAGAUAUGUGAAGAAGCACCUGAAAACAUGGUCCAGCUGCUGGGAGAGUUGAUGAACCAGAGCCACAUGAGCUGCCGGGACAUGUAUGAGUGCAGCUGCCCUGAGCUGGACCAGCUGGUGGACAUCUGUCGGAAGUUGGGGGCUCAAGGGUCACGACUUACUGGAGCAGGAUGGGGAGGCUGCGCAGUAUCAAUAGUACCUGCGGACAAGCUGCCCGGCUUCCUAGCCAAUGUGCACAAAGCUUAUUACCAGAGGAGUGAUGGAAGCUUAGCACCAGAGAAGCAGAGUUUGUUUGCUACCAAACCUGGAGGCGGGGCUUUGGUUUUCCUUGAGGCCUGAAAAAAUGUAAAAAAUCUCAGAGAAACUAUUUAGGACACUUAGGAAUUGGCAGGACUUUCUAUGCCACAGUAAAUUAAUCUUCUUUCUGUUUUGUAUUAUGAUGAAUGGUUGCUAUUAUAUCAAGAUAUAUUUUCAAAGAAAUGAUUGAAAGCUCUCUAUGCUUCAUAAUGAUUAUUUUUCCAUCUUAAAAUAUGGUUUUACUAUUAAGAGUCAAGAUCAUGCUUGGACAGAUCUUUUAAGAAUAAUUUACUGAGAAUUAUUCAUUUGAAGAUUUUAAAGAUGAAUGGUAAAACACACUCUUAAUACUGAUUACAUGAAUUGGACUUGAAUUAAAUAUAUUGUUAAAAUUAAACUGAUACCAUUGAAUUGUAUGCAUUAUUCUUAAAUAGAGUUCAUUUCCAGUUUCUCUUAGUACUCUUCUUCCUCAAAGUUGUAGUUCUCUGUUGAUGAUGAUGAUGACGACGACAGUGAUGCCACACAUUCUCUCUCAAUUUCAGCUUCAGAACGCUAUGAAAAUAAUACAUGAUUAAAGUUUCACAGAUUUUCUUGGACAUUGUAUAAUUGAAUGUGAGAUUUCUCCAAUUAUCAAGAGAGUAAGGAAUUUUUUUUUUUCUGACAAAAGGAGGAUAUGGGAAGAAAAUUCAGACUCAUUUGAAUAUUUUUAAACCAUGUGAUAUCAUUGAAAUAACCACUUUCAAUUCUUUUGGCCCUGAGCUAUCUCCAUUACUUAACAGGAAAACUUAGAUAAAAAACACUUUAAGUCUCUUCUAUUCACAUUGAAAUAAAGAAUUAUCUAGAUGAUAA